rnacentral:lncRNA from 1 species
GAAGCCAGGCCAAGAAGAAUCCCAGGACUGGAAGGCCUUGUGGGACGUCCCAGGUUUGUCUUGUGUCAAUAGCACUGAUACUCAAUCUCCUACUCCCAUCUGUGAGCAUGCAGACCCUACUUGCCUUCCCACAGCCUCCCUUUUCAUAUUUUUCAUGUUUCUUUAGCUCUGUCUUCAAGCCUUGUUGCUCCCGCAAAAAAACCUGCCUCUUCCUCCAGUCCUCCCAAGCAGGGGGAACAGUCCUGACACCUUUCCAAGCCCUGGUCCAUGGACAUUGUGCCCCCUUCUCCCUGCCCAUGGUGACCUGCUCCAAAACCCUCAAGGAGAAGGGAGUGUAUGUCAUUUCCUCCCUGUAAAGUAAAGAUAAUUUUGCAGGGGACUGUGUGGAUGAAAUGACAUGAUGCAUGGAAAUCCCUUAGCGUGUGCCUGGCAUGUAAACUGCAGGUGUCAUCAUUAUUACUGAGGAAUACUGAGUCCCGAACAUGGCUGUCUCAUUGGUGGACUGGGGUCUCCCCCAGGGCAUUCAUCUACUAUGUGUUUAUUGCACCCUUUUUCCAUGUGAGGCACAUGCCAGGGACUGGGCACAUGGUAUGAACAAGACACAGGUCAUCGGUGUCCUCUUGAGCUCCCUGGCUUGGCAGCAGAUGCAUACCUGGGAAGGAUGCUAGGUCAUCCGGGAACUCUACCUCCUUCAAAUCCCUAAGGACUGUGCUCCCAAUCCGCUUACGCUCAAGGAAGAACUGGCCCAGAACCAGCCUGCUGUCAGGAUCAGAACAAAAGAGGAGGACUGCAUAUGUAUGGACCCACUCCAGAUGGCACGGGGACGGGGGGAGUAGGAAAAGUGGCAUGGGUUACUCAGGCUGAAAUGCUCAAGACACUCUGUCUCAAGGGAUUUGUGGCUGUUUCAUCCUCAAGUAUAGGGGGAAUAGUGGCCAGGAAGAUCUCAGAGGUGGCUUCUGGAAGAGGAAUCUGGGUACUGGCUACCCUGCCUUGUGUCCCAUCAUUGGUCUGUCUUGCCUGUCUUGGAGCACAUUUCUCACCAAGCCCCCUGCUGAAAUCAUGGGGUAAAAAAGAGACACAGGGGGAAUGGAGGAGCCAGAGAGAAAGCAGUGUGAUCACAGGCACACAGGACAGCAGCUCACCUUCCCAUCCUUGCUGGCUUUUGCACAAAUACUUCUAAGGGGCCAGGCGUGGUGACUCAUGCUUGUAAUUCCAAGCACUUUGGGAGGCUGAGGCAGGUGGAUCACCUGAAGCCAGGAGUUCAAGAGCAGCCUGGCCAACAUGGCGAAACCCUGUCUCUACUAAAAAUACAAAAUUUAGCCAGGCAUGGUGGCGGGAGCCUGUAAUCUCAGCUCCUAGGGAGGCUGAGCCAGAAGAAUCGCUUAAACCUGGAAGCUGGAGGUUGCAGUGAGCCAAGAUCACACCACCACACUCCAGCCUGGGUGACAGAGCAAGACUCCAUCUCAAAAAGAAAAAAAAGAAAAAAAGGAAAUACUUCUAAGUUAUGUGAGAGAGUACAUACUGACAUUUUCAAUGGGUACAAUAA